rnacentral:sRNA from 1 species
CUGAACCGGCAGAACGUCCACAUUCGGGAUGUUCUGGGCGGCGAGCUUGAAGUUGCCUUCGAUCUCGGCUCCGCCGAUGAUCAGGGCGUUGGUGAGGCCGAGCGAGGCGAAUGCACCGGCGAGCGCCUUCGUCUUUGCUUCGUUGGCUA